CGUACGGGGAAGGAUGAGAAGCUUCGACUAAGGUUCGAUUCGAGCGAAAGCGAGAAAGCGUUGCCGCAGGCAACGACCCGAAGGGCGAAGCGCGCAGCGCUGAGUCAUCCUUCCCCCACCACCA
rnacentral:sRNA from 2 species